AAGGAUUUAAGUUAAAGAAACUAUUAACCUUCAAAGUUAAAAUUAUAUGAAUUUAUAAGCCUUA
rnacentral:tRNA from 1 species